rnacentral:rRNA from 1 species
CUUAUAUUCUGUAGCAAGGUUAACCGAAUAGGGGAGCCGAAGGGAAACCGAGUCUUAACUGGGCGUUAAGUUGCAGGGUAUAGACCCGAAACCCGGUGAUCUAGCCAUGGGCAGGUUGAAGGUUGGGUAACACUAACUGGAGGACCGAACCGACUAAUGUUGAAAAAUUAGCGGAUGACUUGUGGCUGGGGGGGAAAGGCCAAUCAAACCGGGAGAUAGCUGGUUCUCCCCGAAAGCUAUUUAGGUAGCGCCUCGUGAAUUCAUCUCCGGGGGUAGAGCACUGUUUCGGCAAGGGGGUCAUCCCGACUUACCAACCCGAUGCAAACUGCGAAUACCGGAGAAUGUUAUCACGGGAGACACACGGCGGGUGCUAACGUCCGUCGUGAAGAGGGAAACAACCCAGACCGCCAGCUAAGGUCCCAAAGUCAUGGUUAAGUGGGAAACGAUGUGGGAAGGCCCAGACAGCCAGGAUGUUGGCUUAGAAGCAGCCAUCAUUUAAAGAAAGCGUAAUAGCUCACUGGUCGAGUCGGCCUGCGCGGAAGAUGUAACGGGGCUAAACCAUGCACCGAAGCUGCGGCAGCGACGCUUAUGCGUUGUUGGGUAGGGGAGCGUUCUGUAAGCCUGCGAAGGUGUGCUGUGAGGCAUGCUGGAGGUAUCAGAAGUGCGAAUGCUGACAUAAGUAACGAUAAAGCGGGUGAAAAGCCCGCUCGCCGGAAGACCAAGGGUUCCUGUCCAACGUUAAUCGGGGCAGGGUGAGUCGACCCCUAAGGCGAGGCCGAAAGGCGUAGUCGAUGGGAAACAGGUUAAUAUUCCUGUACUUGGUGUUACUGCGAAGGGGGGACGGAGAAGGCUAUGUUGGCCGGGCGACGGUUGUCCCGGUUUAAGCGUGUAGGCUGGUUUUCCAGGCAAAUCCGGAAAAUCAAGGCUGAGGCGUGAUGACGAGGCACUACGGUGCUGAAGCAACAAAUGCCCUGCUUCCAGGAAAAGCCUCUAAGCAUCAGGUAACAUCAAAUCGUACCCCAAACCGACACAGGUGGUCAGGUAGAGAAUACCAAGGCGCUUGAGAGAACUCGGGUGAAGGAACUAGGCAAAAUGGUGCCGUAACUUCGGGAGAAGGCACGCUGAUAUGUAGGUGAAGUCCCUCGCGGAUGGAGCUGAAAUCAGUCGAAGAUACCAGCUGGCUGCAACUGUUUAUUAAAAACACAGCACUGUGCAAACACGAAAGUGGACGUAUACGGUGUGACGCCUGCCCGGUGCCGGAAGGUUAAUUGAUGGGGUUAGCGCAAGCGAAGCUCUUGAUCGAAGCCCCGGUAAACGGCGGCCGUAACUAUAACGGUCCUAAGGUAGCGAAAUUCCUUGUCGGGUAAGUUCCGACCUGCACGAAUGGCGUAAUGAUGGCCAGGCUGUCUCCACCCGAGACUCAGUGAAAUUGAACUCGCUGUGAAGAUGCAGUGUACCCGCGGCAAGACGGAAAGACCCCGUGAACCUUUACUAUAGCUUGACACUGAACAUUGAGCCUUGAUGUGUAGGAUAGGUGGGAGGCUUUGAAGUGUGGACGCCAGUCUGCAUGGAGCCGACCUUGAAAUACCACCCUUUAAUGUUUGAUGUUCUAACGUGGACCCGUAAUCCGGGUUGCGGACAGUGUCUGGUGGGUAGUUUGACUGGGGCGGUCUCCUCCUAAAGAGUAACGGAGGAGCACGAAGGUUGGCUAAUCCUGGUCGGACAUCAGGAGGUUAGUGCAAUGGCAUAAGCCAGCUUGACUGCGAGCGUGACGGCGCGAGCAGGUGCGAAAGCAGGUCAUAGUGAUCCGGUGGUUCUGAAUGGAAGGGCCAUCGCUCAACGGAUAAAAGGUACUCCGGGGAUAACAGGCUGAUACCGCCCAAGAGUUCAUAUCGACGGCGGUGUUUGGCACCUCGAUGUCGGCUCAUCACAUCCUGGGGCUGAAGUAGGUCCCAAGGGUAUGGCUGUUCGCCAUUUAAAGUGGUACGCGAGCUGGGUUUAGAACGUCGUGAGACAGUUCGGUCCCUAUCUGCCGUGGGCGCUGGAGAACUGAGGGGGGCUGCUCCUAGUACGAGAGGACCGGAGUGGACGCAUCACUGGUGUUCGGGUUGUCAUGCCAAUGGCACUGCCCGGUAGCUAAAUGCGGAAGAGAUAAGUGCUGAAAGCAUCUAAGCACGAAACUUGCCCCGAGAUGAGUUCUCCCUGACUCCUUGAGAGUCCUGAAGGAACGUUGAAGACGACGACGUUGAUAGGCCGGAUGUGUAAGCGCAGCGAUGCGUUGAGCUAACCGGUACUAAUGAACCGUGAGGCUUAACCUU